rnacentral:siRNA from 1 species
GAUAUAGUACUCAUUAGUGCCU